rnacentral:lncRNA from 1 species
GAUGAGAAAAUUGAAGUUGAAAUUGAACAUGGUGAUGAUGGAUCCAAUAGUAACAAGAAUAAUGAAUCAGCAGCAUCAUUUUCUGGUUCUGUGUUCAAUCUAUCAACAACUAUUAUUGGUGCUGGAAUCAUGGCUUUACCUGCAGCCAUGAAAGUUUUGGGACUAACCAUUGGUAUUGCUUCAAUCAUAUUCCUUGCUUUGCUUAGUCAUACCUCUUUGGAUAUUCUCAUGAGGUUUAGUAGAGUUGCUAAGGCUCAAUCUUAUGGUGAUGUCAUGGGAUAUGCUUUUGGAAGUCUUGGUAGAUUGCUUUUUCAGAUUUCUGUUCUUUUUAACAACUUUGGUAUUCUUGUUGUUUACAUCAUCAUCAUUGGUAAUUCAAUUCUCUACACUUAUAUCAUGUUUAUCCAUUAAAUUUUAUUUAAUAAAUGAAUUUAAUCUGUAUGUACUUUCUGUGUAAAACUUUUAGGAAGUGAUAUAACAAAAUGUGAUUUCAUUGAGCGUAUGUGUCAAAUGUAUUACACUGUCGGUGUGUAUAAAUUACAUGCCUUAAAAAUUGGUUAAAUUGAAUGUUUUAGGCUACUUGAUUUUCAGGUGAUGUACUGUCUGGAACAACUUCAUCUGGAAGUCAUCACUUCGGUGUACUUAAAGGAUGGUUUGGCGAACACUGGUCGACUGGGCGUACUUUUGUUCUUCUUAUUACAACCCUUGUGGUAUUUGCUCCAUUAGGAUUCUUUAAGAGGAUAGGUACAUUUUACAAUACAAUGAAUUCAAGUAUGUUAAAUGAUUUACCUCAAAUAGUGGGAUAAUUUUUAAAACAAAUAGUAUGUGAAAUAAGUCACGGGGGACUAGACAACACUGGAGACUAUCAACGGGGAUAAUAAAGCAAUCACUGAGGACUAGACAACAUUGACAAUUAUUAAAGCAAACACUGGGGAUUAGACAACAUUUACAAUUUUGACCGAAUACAAACAAAUAUUUGAUUGAAAUUAAUUUCCAAACAGCUCACGCUCCAACUUUUCCAACAACUCUUUCUUACGGCCAUCGAGAUGCUCUUCGGAACUUAACUUUAGAUACAUUUUCAUUUUCUUAGCUUCAGUCUUUUCUUUCAUCAAUUUGUUUUUCUCUUGUUUCACCAAGGUUAACUCUUUCAAUUGUUCAACCUCUUGCUCCUUUAAUUCUUUGAAUUCAACCCACUCCUUUUCCACCUCCUCCAAGAGAGCGUCCUUGCUUCUUUUUUUUUAGCUGCCUCCCUAUUCAUUGGACGAGCACUAGAUCCUACAGAGUUCUCGUGAGAUCUCUUAGAUCCACUACUUCUUGAGCCAAUAUUUCCUCCUACUUGACCACCAUAACGUGGUUGAUCACGGAGAGCGUGUCAUUCUUUCAUUAAAGUAAAUUGAACAUUCUUCCCACAUGCAUAUAAUUAUUGCGCUUUUGCCAAAACAUCAGUUCCCGACCAAUCGCUUCCUUGUAAACGCUUAGCGCCUUUAUAAGCACCAAUCCAUUUUUUAUGGACCAAAAUUUUAGAGGAAUUAAAACAAAAAAUUUAUAUAUUUAUAGGGACAAAAAAACAUAUUUAAUCUGUUAAUAAAAUACAUGAAAUAAUUUGAGACAUAUCAAUUCGGUGGUUUCAUCUUAACUUUAGUAAAAAAAAAAACGAACCUUAGAUAACCUUCCUCAACUUGUGCUUUUUAUCUAUCUGCUGUUUCAUCGUAGGGUUUCACCAAACGUAGAUUCCCAAAUUCUUGUAUCACAUCCGAUUCGGAACCGUAAAGCAGGUUAGUUAUUGGGAGAUUUCUGAAUCAAAAUUUGAUCUUUACUCUUCGUUUUUUCUGAUUGAAUUUGGUAGAUAGAUCUGAAAUGAAUUUGAAUGAAGUUAAAAGGCACAAGAAGUCUGAAUCACAUGAUGCUGCAAUUGUGCAAUGCUCAAGUAGUUCAAGUAAUCGUAAUCGGUUUUCAGAGCUCUCUCAAGACGUGAUGCUUGCUAUCCUUUGUUUAGUUCCUCUUAACUGUUUACUUAACUCUGCAAGGUACGUCUCCAAACAUUGGUCUACUGCUAUUCCAUCCUGCCUUCAACUUAAACCACCCGGUCUCUACGUUGAAAAUAUCAAGUCAGGUAGAGACUCUAAUUUCCUAGAUCAUGUCAAUGGACAAAAGUUUCAUUUCGGAAUGCCUUCAAAAAUGGGUACUUUAUUGAAUACAUGCCAUGGCAUAUUACUGCUUCAUAAAGGGAAUAGACUAACUUUUGCAGUAAACCCUAUCCUUAAGUCCUGCUUUAAAAUUCCAAUUUAUCCCACUCAUUCGAAAAGAACGAUUCAUUUUCGAUCUACUAUAGCACGUGUUCCCAACACUGCCCAAUUCAAGUUGUUCUUAAUAGAUGUUCUAAAUGUUGAGGGGGUUGAUUGGUAUGUUUUUUACGUCCUAAGAAUUGGAGUUGAUCACACAUGGAAAGAGAUAGCAACUAGAAAACAAGUUAUCCUUAAAUAUAAUUUUUUAUGGAAACCUGUUUAUAAUGGAGAAAAUCAUAUCUAUUGGAUAACAAAUGAUGGAGUUAAUGUCAUGGAUGUUGACAGGGAAAUUCUUAUAGGAGAGUAUCCACUCCCCUCUACACCAGUAAAUUCUUCUCUGUGGGGGGUUGUUUUAUGGAUGGGAGAUCGUCUUUCUUGGAUUCUUACCGUUGAAGGUAUUAGUAGCACUAUAACAUUAACAUAUCAAAUCUAUACUUUGGAUUUUGAUUUAGGAAAAUGGAAUCUUUAUCAUGAGAUGGGACCUUUUGAUUACGAGGCUGCUUGCGGCCACAAACUGGAUUUUGACAAUAUUAAAACGCUGUGCGCGAUAUUUCAUUUCUGGUUCAACGACCAAAUUUUCUUUACAACACUUAUCUAUUCAAAAAAAAACCGAAAUGGAUUUUCAGGCUUCAAAAGAGUAAAUUUUUGUUACAAUGUCAAGACUAGAGAACUGACAAAAAUUGAUGGCAUUGCAGUGGGUAAUUAUGAUGUAUGGCUUCAUACCAACACUCUAGUUUCGUUGCCAAGUGCUCCAACAUAGCUAGGUUUUCUGGUAUAAAAUAUGCGCUAUGUAGUAGUAUUUAUAUUUAUUUGUCUUGGUUGGCCAAACCAGAAAAGUAAGUAUUUAUGUUUCUAUUUAAUUAUCAUCUAGAUUGACCAUGGCCAAACAAAAGGUGAAGUUUUAAGGGGUUGUUUUAACUUAAUUAUUGGUGAUGCCUAGUAUGCUGCUUUCACCAGAUGCGAUCAUGAUGGGUCUCAUUGGAAAAACCAGCUAUUAUAAGUCAUACAGGUUUCAUUUUUUAAUGUGUAGUACAGGUUUUCUUUUCUAUUAUAUUAUACUAGUGUGUAUACCCGUGUCAAACAAGGGAUAGUUUUAGCAAAAUUCGGAUGAUUGAUGCAUGUGAGUAAGGAAAUAACUAAAGUUUAGUGUUAGAAAUUGAUAAACAAUUCUAGAUUAAGUAUAGGAAAGGGUAAUUUUUAGCAUAUCAAAUGAUUCAUAUUCACAAUGCAAGGUACUAUAAAUUUACAUAGCCAAUAAGGCUAUAGAUGAUGAAAAUAAAGCGGUUGAUUGAAUCAGAUUCUUAUAAAUCGAAUGCACAACUUGACAAAUGUCCAAAUUGAAUGAAAGUAUUUCUAGUAAAUGCAUUGAUUAAAGACUAUCAUGUUCAGACCAACAAUACAUUAAUUUUGCCGAGGAGAAAGAUAUUGAAUGAUUUUUCAAUUUACAAUAGCUUUCCUUGUACCGGUCUUGCAACUUUAAAAGGGUCCUGUUGCUAUCAGAAAUAAAGAAGGGUAUGCAUAAUUUUGGGGUGUUGAUGCCUCCUCAUUGUAACAAAUGUUACAGUUGAUUAAAGGCCAAGUCGGCAACAAUUUGCCUCCUCAUAACCAAAUACAAAGGUUUCAGAAUUCCAGAGGAUCAAGAGGCUUCAUAGUAUGUUCGCAAGGUCAAUGCUGAAAAUUGGAAGGUCGAGUAAUUUCUCAAAGACAACGUGACAAUCUAUUUCUAUAUGUUUAGGGUGUUCAUGAAAGGUAGAGUAAGCCACAAUGUGGUGAGCUGAUUUGCUGUCGCAAUAGAAGACAGCAGAAGAUAUGAAAGGUAAAGUAUCAGUUAAAGUAUCGUCUAAAAAAGUAUGCAAGUGUACAAUGGCAAAGAAAUCACUACUUAUCUAGUAUAAAAAGGAAAAAUAAAGUAGCAACUAUUUUUAUACUUUCAAUUUAAAGAUAUAAAAAGGGAAAAUAAAGUAGCAAUCAUUUUUUAUGCUUCCAAUUUAAAGAUACCAAUACUUGCAAUCAAUUUUGAAGUCUCAACAUCAUAUUGAAUAUUGGAUCCUUUUAAUCACCCUUUUUGCAAAUUGUUUUGGUUCAUUUUGUCAUGAGAUUUCUUCCAUCUCUGAGUAGAGUCUUUUCGUUACUAACCGAUGUUUGAUCAAUAGAGUCUCGAGCAUGUUUACGAUCAAUCUGGAUACCAGUAAAUGAAGUUAAAAAAUCCAUCUGGGGAAAAAUCAUAUGAAAGUCAUAUGGGGCCAUGACAACGCCACUCAGAUCCAACCUAUCCAGAUGGUUUAUGUAGUUGUCUGGUGUGCCCAAACCAAACAAUGGUACAAAAAGCAUCGCGCGUGGAUCUUGCUCCCGAUAGUUUGCCCAGACAUCCUUACUUCCCAUACCUUGGAAGCGCUGAUACACCCAAGCUUGCAACAAUGACAACCACAUAUAAAAUGCUACUAUAACAAUUAUGCAGAAUUAACCAAAGAAACCAUUACUCUUUGUCAGAAUGCCAUCUAAAAAAAUAAAAGUCAUUCUACUUAAAAGUUGAUUAGUGGAUUACCAUAAAAUCUUUGUUGGAGAAAGUAUGAUUUUGAGACACACUUGUUUGUUAAGUAACACAACCUCUUUAGCUAUUUGUUGCAGCUUUCAAUUGUGUGGUUUACUACAAUUAUUUGUGACAUAGAAUAAAGAGCAAUGAAAUUCAAAGACAGAUUAUACGAAUGUCACAAGAGCUAAGACUUACAUGAAAGCCUCAAAAUAUGUGUUCCCUAACCAUUCCAAUUUUAAAUACAUGUACCAUUAAUUUUCAGCUUUACUUGUGUUGAAUAAUCACAUACUCUUCCUUAAAUGAGGCUAAGAGAGUGUAAGUAAUGGGAGAUAAUAUUGAACCAAAAAUGGCAAGAGAGUUCUAUAAACUAGAUCAGUUCCCAGUUUCAACUCACAACAAUACUCUUCAAAAUAAAGAUCAAGUAUCCUAUCCAUAAGAUACUUCAAAAAUGUCAAUUCAUGAGAUCAUUGAUCUUACAAACUCCCCUCCUCCAUCACCACCUAUAUCUUCAUCCAAUGUACUACUUUUGGUGCCAACAACAGAAGGACACACCCCUCAAAUCCUAAUCAUCAUCACCGUACUACUUUGUUGAUACCAACAACUGCAGGACACAUUCCAAUAACUGGCACUAACCGUUACCUCAACCAAACACAUUCCAAUUCUCCAACCGUUCAAUGCUUAAUAGGAUUGCUCACAAUGUUAAUGUGCCAACUGUAAAGGAAACUCUCACUCUCUUACUAAAUAUAUCUUUCAGGCCUACUUAAUCCUCUGCGCCUUAACCACCACGCUUCAACCUUUCAAGAGCUUCAAGGCUAUAAUGUUAAUUACCAGAGUUCAGAAUCAAAAAUUAUUUUAUAAUUUCUCUAUAUUUAAAGACUAUUAUGCCUAUUCAUUAUAUAUUCACAUAAGAAAAUGACUAUUUAUCUCUAACAAACAAAGGAAAGGUGGUCCACCGACUAAAUUAACAUGAAAGGUGGUAUAUUUNCAUUUUUCUUCCAAUCACUCCCCAAAUCAGUUUACAGAUAUAAAUUAACUUUCUGUAUGCACUUAGAACCUAUUUCAAGCAUCAAAUUCACACUCCCAACUCCCAAAAUCAUCAUUCCAACAUAAAACACAAAAUCCCCAAUUUUCACCAAAACCUGUUAAACUCAAAAUCAGAAAUCAAUAACUACACUAUAUAGUAAACCUCACCCUUACCUUAAUUCAGAAUGAAAAAUGCACAGCAAAUGGAUUCUCUUGGGUUCUACUUGCGCUUCUCUUCUUUCUCCCAAAACUGACAGUUUUCACGUACAAAGCUUCUGACAUCUAAUUCCUAACUUCCCUCUUACUUAACUCCCUAUAUUUUCACUUAACUACCCAUUAAUUUUAAUAAAUUCUAUUAACUCCCCAAACACCAAAAUAAUUAUUAUUUCACACUUAAUCUAAUUAUUAUUAAAAUAAACCAUAUAAUAAAAUAACACACCACAUAAAUCACCAAAAAUCAUAUAUAUAUAUAUAUAUAUAUAUAUAUAGACUCCACAUAAAUCAAAUAAUUAAAUAUGACAACUAGGGCGUUACAUUUAAGAGAUUGCAUUUUAUGAAUGAGGCUUUCCUAAUGAAGAUGAUAUGAAACCACAUUAACAAAAUGAGCUCUGGAGUAAAAUCCUUAUUAGUAAUUAUGAAAGAAGUAACGAUCUCACGAGUUCUUGCAACUCCCGACCUUAUGAUUCUCCUUUGUGGAGGGGAUUUGGAGUGAUUUCCAGUGCAAUGUGGUUUGAAAAAUCGAAAAUGGUUGAAGGACUUAUUUCUAGCUAGAUGUGUUCCUAAAGAGGAUGUGAUCCUCACCUUAGCUUCUCAAAACCUCAUUGAUACCACUAUUUCUUUGUGGUAUGCAUUGACUCAUGAGGGAAAUCGAGACUCGAAUUAUGCAGAAUAAUUUAUCGGCUAAUAUUUUGUAGCAAGUGAUUGUUUUUGCGGCCCUUAAUGAUGUUGACGGGCCUGAUGCAAUGGGAUUUGGAGGCAGUAAUACUCACCAAUUUACUAGUCAGAGUGAUUAUACGUUACAACAUGGGGAUAUCCACGCCCUGGAGGAAGAUUGGAAGUCUUUAUAGGAUUGAAGAGGACUUCAUUGUAUCCAAACUUUCGUCAAUUGGUGGCUCCAUAGCACAUCCUCACCAAUUUCUGGAGAAGCAAGUGGGGAGUGGUCAUAUCUCUGCUUUGUACUAGAUGUGGAGAGAGGAUGAGACAACCGUUCAUAUGCUUCAAGACUAUGUUUACACUACUCAAGUAUGGCUAUGUUUGGUUCUAGAUAAUUUUAUAACUAAUUUUUUUAUUCUUGAUUGUAGGAACUAGAUUUUCAAUAACAUUAACAAGUUGGGUAUUGGCGCAACUACCACGAGCUAAAAGAAAACUUUCACGACCACAUGUUGGUUCAUGUGGAGAAUCAAAGCUAUUUUUAAUGAAGAUUUUCAACUGUUGAACAACCCUGUCUUGACGAUCCAAAAUUUUACUAGAGAAUUAGACUCGUGUUAGACCCAACCGCCUCAGCGCAAUAUUCAGAUAAAAGAGACAUAUAGGUUGGAAAGUCCUUUUGAAGGUUGGAUAAAACUCAAGAGUGAUGGUGCUUACAAAGGAGGUGGGGAGUAUUCAAGAUGUGGUGGCCUUUUCUGCAACUCUAAAUAGAUAUGAUUAAAGGCUACAUACAUAAGAUUGAAGUGUGUAACGCACUUAAUGCUGAAAUGUGGGGCAUGCAUCUUGGUUUGGAUAUGGCUUGACGAGGGCGUAUUCUGCAACUCAUUGUGGAAAGUGAUUCUAAUUUUUUUUAGUAAUAUGACUACAUAUAAUUGCAAGUUUAGUGGUCGGUUUCCACAUUGGUGCAGCGUAUUCACAAUCUUUUGACUUUGUAUGAUGCGUCCAAUUUCUUCAUAGAUGGAGGAAGACAAUCAAUGUGCUGAUUUACCAACUAAUUUUAGCCAAUCUUUAGACUCUUUAAAUUAUACUAGAAUGUAGACUCUGCCUAAUAAACUUCAUAGAUUUAUUUUUGAUGAUAUCUUCAAGGUUCGCAUGUCAAAAAAUGUUAAGCUAAUUUCUUAAUUUUUAUGUUGGACCUUUGAAUCUCUUUAAUUUGGUAAAAAUAAAUAAUAAAAAAUCAACAAUUGUAUUCAAUUAUUGAUCCAAGAGAAUUUACAAACACGUUGUUUCCGGCUGUCAAAAGAAGCUUAGAAGCACGUUGGCUUCCAAAUUUCGCUCAACUUAACAAUUUUAAAAGAAGAAAACAUAACAAUUUUUCUCAUUCCUUUUUUAUUAAUACAUAAUAUAUUUUCUUUUUAAAAAUUUCAAGCUCAUUUCAGUUCUUUGGGAUUUGGAUAAAAACAAGGAUGAGUUGGUCCACCGACCGAAAUCUAAUAAAUAUUGGGUUUGAAGUGAAGUCAAUAUAAACAAAAGGAUAAUUAAAAAGUUACACCAAUAUUGAUGUAAGUUUUUUACUAUUAUUUUUGUUUAUAUUUCAUUAUGUUUGAAAGAUGUGGCUUAAAAUACAUAGUAUAUUGCCUUCCAAAUUCCAUAACGGUAAUGCAAUCAACUACGUGGUAUGCGAUAAUUUAUCUUUUUAUUUAUAUUUUUGCAUCCAAACUAAGUUAAGUGAUUAUGUAUGCAAAUUUUCGAUUUUUUAACGAAUCUAAUGACAAAUUUCACACAACAAAUAUGAAAAGGAUGGAAAUUGCAAAUCGAGCCGAUCAUCACAUCAAAUAUCUCUGCAAAAUUUUACGACGACGUACAUUUGCGGAUCACAAAUUUCGGACUCUAUUUUAUAAUGAGUGUCAUUGUAUAUUAAGUAUAAUAUCAAUUAUCUUCUUAUAAUUUUAUGUCUAAAUUAGUACUAUGGAAAUUACUUUUAUUUGUUGUACUUCACUUUUAUUUAUGACAAUAAAUAUUGCCCAAUUGUUCUUUUCAAAAAUAACAAUAAUUUUGUAAGACCAUCACACUUUUCCUUUAUUUACCAUUUUUCUUAAUCUUUUGAAAAGAAAGUUAAAUGUCAAAGUCAAAUGAGGCAAAAGAAGCAAGCAUACACACUUUAGGUGAUAAUAAUUGAGAUAUUUUAAGAAAUAAUAUAACAUCGAAAAAAUCAUCAAUUUGAUCCCUAAGCCAUCUCUUCCCAAUUUAAUCUCUAAAUUAUAAAAAUAUUGUCCUUAAAUUAUUUUUAGUCAAAUAAGAUAGUCCUUGGAUUAUCAUUCUUUUUAAAAUAAAAAAAAAAUACAUACCUAAUAUGCCAGAUUAAUAAUAAUUUAAGGACUACUUAUUAUAUUGUUAUAGUUUAAGGAACAAAUUAGUAAGAGAGUGAUAAUUUAGAUGCGUUGUACUUAUAAUAUAAUGCAUAGUAACUAACUUUAUAGAAUAAAUAUGUAUGAGUACAUAUCAUAUGGUGACAAGUAAGAGAGAGAAGCAUUAAGCAAAUCAUCACUAAGAAUUGAGAUAAUCAUCAAUAUGGGGAUACAAAACAAUCCAACAGGAACAAACGAAAUUGUUGGAGAACAAUAUUGUCCAUUGCUACAAACUAAAACAGAUGAGAAAAUUGAAGUUGAAAUUGAACAUGGUGAUGAUGGAUCAAAUAGUAACAAGAAUAAUGAAUCAGCAGCAUCAUUUUCUGGUUCUGUGUUCAAUCUAUCAACAACUAUUAUUGGUGCUGGAAUCAUGGCUUUACCUGCAGCCAUGAAAGUUUUGGGACUAACAAUUGGUAUUGCUUCAAUCAUAUUCCUUGCUUUGCUUAAUCAUACCUCUUUGGAUAUUCUCAUGAGGUUUAGUAGAGUUGCUAAGGCUCAAUCUUAUGGUGAUGUCAUGGGAUAUGCUUUUG